rnacentral:rRNA from 1 species
UUCUGGUUGAUCCUGCCGGACCCGACUGCUAUUUGGGUGAGGAUAAGCCAUGCAAGUCGAAUGGGAUACCUAAAUUUCCCAUGGCAAACUGCUCAAUAACACAUGAUCAACUUACCCUAUAGAGAAACAUAAUCUCGGGAAACUGAGAAUAAUAUUUCAUAAUUGAAAAGGCUUGGAAAAGUUUUUCAAUAAAAGGGAUAAAGAAAAUGGUCUUUAUUCGCUAUAGGAUAGGAUCGUGUUCGAUUAGGGUAGUUGGUGAGGUAAUGGCUCACCAAGCCGAUAAUCGAUGGGGGCCGUGAGAGCGGGAGCCCCGAGAUGGGUACUGAGACAACGACCCAGGCCUUACGAGGCGCAGCAGGCGCGAAACCUCCGCAAUACACGAAAGUGUGACGGGGUUACC